AUUCCCUCAGUAAGGGCGACUGAAGGGGGAAGAGCCCAGCAUGUGAAUCUGCGCUUCGGCGCCGAAUUGUGGUCUGCAGACUCUGGCACUAUUGGAUCGGGCUAAGUCCCUUGGAAUAGGGCAGCAUACAGGGUGAGACUCCCGUCCGCCUGAUCCUCUGAGCUGGAUGUCAAAGAGUCUAGUUGUUUGGGAUUGCAGCUCAAAGUGGGUGGUAAAUUCCAUCUAAGGCUAAAUAUUGGUGGGAAACCGAUAGCGUACAAGUACCGUGAGGGAAAGAUGCAAAGAACUUUGAAAAGAGAGUUAAAGAGUACCUGAAAUUGCUGAAAGGGAAGCGAAGGAAACCAGUGCCUGCUGAGUCAUAUUUCUCGCCUCGCUUGCGGGGUGGGCGCUGUGUCUUGGCCUCUGUCAGGCUUGGUUGGGCUGGCGGGAAUUGCGCUGCAAGAGUUGAUUGUAGCAUGUCCGCUGUCAGCUCGACUGAGGUUGAC
rnacentral:rRNA from 1 species